rnacentral:rRNA from 1 species
AACAGGAUUAGAUACCCUGGUAGUCCAUGCCGUAAACGAUGUCUACUAGCCGUUGGGACCUUUGAGGCUUUAGUGGCGCAGCUAACGCGAUAAGUAGACCGCCUGGGGAGUACGGUCGCAAGACUAAAACUCAAAUGAAUUGACGGGGGCCCGCACAAGCGGUGGAGCAUGUGGUUUAAUUCGAUGCAACGCGAAGAACCUUACCUGGCCUUGACAUACUAAGAACUUUCCAGAGAUGGAUUGGUGCCUUCGGGAACUUAGAUACAGGUGCUGCAUGGCUGUCGUCAGCUCGUGUCGUGAGAUGUUGGGUUAAGUCCCGCAACGAGCGCAACCCUUUUCCUUAUUUGCCAGCGGGUUAAGCCGGGAACUUUAAGGAUACUGCCAGUGACAAACUGGAGGAAGGCGGGGACGACGUCAAGUCAUCAUGGCCCUUACGGCCAGGGCUACACACGUGCUACAAUGGUCGGUACAAAGGGUUGCUACCUCGCGAGAGGAUGCUAAUCUCAAAAAGCCGAUCGUAGUCCGGAUCGCAGUCUGCAACUCGACUGCGUGAAGUCGGAAUCGCUAGUAAUCGCGGAUCAGAAUGCCGCGGUGAAUACGUUCCCGGGCCUUGUACACACCGCCCGUCACACCAUGGGAGUUUGUUGCACCAGAAGUAGGUAGUCUAACCGUAAGGGGGACGCUUACCACGGUGUGGCCGAUGACUGGGGUGAAGUCGUAACAAGGUAACC